UUAGCUAAAAAACGUUAAUCCAAAGAAGCAAAAGUGGCUGGUGUGGUGCAAGUAAGAUGAUAUCGAUAUGAUCUAGUCUCAAUCACGUUCGUCGCAGACGAAAAAUUAAACCUGUAAACAAUUUCUCUCUAUAUUUACUUGUUCAAAUGCCAGUGAAACGAACGAUAGAAAAAAAGAAGCAUUUAAACUGUUCGCAAAAUUUUUGGUUUGGAUACAAAAAUCCAAGUGAAAAUGAUAUUAAAAAGGUACACUUUCUUAUAUCUAAAAUUCAUUGCAGCUUUCUAUUCAUUUUUGUUUAUGUGUAUUUCAUCUGUGUUGCUAAUGAUAUUGCCAGUUUUUAUGAUUUUAUGUUGUUAAGUAAUGCAUCCUUAUGUUUCAGGCUAAAAUAGAGCUUUGAAAAACACUUUUUUCCAGUUUAAAUGAAUAAUAACUCUCAAGGUGUAUUAGCUAAAUUAUGGUUUCAAUGGGUUCAAAAAGAAGCAACCGCGCUGGAAACAUGAGUUGAUUAAAAGGAUCAGCCCUUUUUGAAUUAAUAGUCGGUAAGUAUAAUGUCCUCCACUCAGCUAAUCAAGUUUCGUUUGCUUUUUUUGUAUUAUAUUUAAGCAAAAGACUGUUUUUUAUGUCGUAACCUGCUCGUAUGAAAGGGUUUCUCGACUUGAAAUUGUUAAUUUUAUUCAAUAGCGCCAAGAAACAAAGCUCGCUCAAGAAACAGAAAAGAAAGAGAAAGAUGAAAAAUUAUUCUGUUGAACAAUACUAU